GCCACAGAAGAUCCUAGAAUUGAUAAAGGAAAAAAAAAUGCGUAUCGUAAUUAACAGCAUCAAGAAUGGCAGUGUGAUUGUAGUCUUCAGCAUUGUGUUGGAUGUAGGAAAAAAUAUAACAAAAACAGAUAUUUCAAAUGCUUUUAUAGAAGCCCUUAACAUGAGUACACUAUUGACAGCUGAUCUUGAAAAGACUGUUAUAGAAGCAAGAAAUAGUUGUCAGCCAGGAUUAAAUGGCUGUUCCCAACAUGCUACCUGCACUGCUGAAGGAGGAAGUUAUUCCUGUCAAUGCAACAAGGGAUUCACAGACAACAGUCCCCAAGUUCCAGGGAGAGUUUGUCAGCAAAAGCAGAAUCUGCCUUCACAACCGAUGACUACAGUUCCUCCCAAAAGUGCUGCAGUGAGAUUUACAGGAGCCACAGCUAAUUCCAUUUUCUCUACCACAUUUGCAUC